rnacentral:rRNA from 1 species
GACGUAGGUGGCGACCGUUAUCCGGAAUUACUGGGCGUAAAGCGUGCGCAGGCGGUCCGCUAAGACAGAUGUGAAAUCCCCGGGCUUAACCUGGGAACUGCAUUUGUGACUGGCGGGCUAGAGUAUGGCAGAGGGGGGUAGAAUUCCACGUGUAGCAGUGAAAUGCGUAGAGAUGUGGAGGAAUACCGAUGGCGAAGGCAGCCCCCUGGGCCAAUACUGACGCUCAUGCACGAAAGCGUGGGGAGCAAACAGG